rnacentral:rRNA from 1 species
GAUGAACGCUGGCGGCGUGCCUAAUACAUGCAAGUCGAGCGAACGGACGAGAAGCUUGCUUCUCUGUUGUUAGCGGCGGACGGGUGAGUAACACGUGGAUAACCUACCUAUAUGUCUGGGAUAACUUCGGGAAACCGUAGCUAAUACCGGAUAAUAUUUUGAACCGCAUGGUUCAAAAGUGAAAGACGGUCUUGCUGUCACUUAUAGCUGGAUCCGCGCUGCAUUAGCUAGUUGGUAAGGUAACGGCUUACCAAGGCAACGAUGCAUAGCCGACCUGAGAGGGUGAUCGGCCACACUGGAACGGAAACACGGUCCAGACUCCUACGGGAGGCAGCAGUAGGGAAUCUUCCGCAAUGGGCGAAAGCCUGACGGAGCAACGCCGCGUGAGUGAUGAAGGUCUUCGGAUCGUAAAACUCUGUUAUUAGGGAAGAACAUAUGUGUAAGGAACUGUGCACAUCUUGACGGUACCUAAUCAGAAAGCCACGGCUAACUACGUG